rnacentral:rRNA from 1 species
CGGAGGGUGCAGGCGUUAUCCGGAUUCACUGGGUUUAAAGGGUGCGUAGGCGGAUAGGUAAGUCCGUGGUGAAAUCCUGCAGCUUAACUGCAGAACUGCCGUGGAUACUAUCUAUCUUGAAUAUCGUGGAGGUUAGCGGAAUAUGUCAUGUAGCGGUGAAAUGCUUAGAUAUGACAUAGAACACCCAUUGCGGAGGCAGCUAACUACGCGGUAACUGACGCUGAUGCACGAAAGCGUGGGGAUCAAACAGGACUAGAUACCCUGGUAGUCCACGCCCUAAACGAUGAUUACUCGACAUUGGUGAUACACAGUCAGUGUCUGAGCGAAAGCAUUAAGUAAUCCACCUGGGAAGUACGAUCGCAAGAUUG